rnacentral:rRNA from 1 species
GACGAACGCUGGCGGCGUGCCUAAUACAUGCAAGUCGAGCGAUGAAGAGUGGUGCUUGCACCACUUUGAAUAGCAGCGGACGGGUGAGUAACGCGUGGGUAAUCUGCCUUUGAGCGGGGGACAACAUCUGGAAACGAGUGCUAAUACCGCAUAACAACUUUAAACAUAAGUUUUAAGAUUGAAAGAUGCAAUUGCAUCACUCAAAGAUGAUCCCGCGUUGUAUUAGCUAGUUUGGGAAGGAAAGGCCCACCAAGGCGAUGAUACAUAGCCCACCUGAGAGGGGUGACGGCCAAAUUGGGAACGAGAAAAGGCCCAAGACUCUAACGGAGGCAGCAGUAGGGGAUCUUAGGGAAUGGAGGAAAGUCCGACCGGGGCAAGCCGCGUGAGUGAAGGAGGUUCUCCGAUUGUAAAAAUCUGUUGGUAGAGAAGAACGUUGGUGAGAGUGAACAGCUCAUCAAGUGACGGUAACUAACCAGAAAGCGACGGCUAACUACGUG